CGCAUCUUGCGCUCUUGGGUAUUCCUAAGAGCAUGUCUGUUUGAGUGUCGCAUAACCUAUCAAGUCGGCUUUUAUUUCGGUAAAGGCCGCGCUUGGAGAUGGAGAUUUGAAAGGCGUUAAAACUUUUCAUUCUCUGAAAGCGAAAAGCGCAGUGUGCUGCUUGGCGUAAUAAUAUUUCGCACAAGUCGGUUGUAGCUUGCACUUUAGAAAGGCUUUGAGAGCAAUCUUAGUAGCAUAUACACUUUAGACCUCAAAUCAGGCAGGACUACCCGCUGAACUUAA
rnacentral:misc_RNA from 1 species